UACGUAGGGGCAAGCGUUGUCCGGAAUUAUUGGGCGUAAAGAGCGCGUAGGCGGUCCGAUAAGUCGGCUGUGAAAGUCAGGGGCUCAACCCUUGAAAGCCGGCCGAUACUGUCGGACUAGAGUCCGGAAGAGGCAAGUGGAAUUCCCGGUGUAGCGGUGAAAUGCGCAGAUAUCGGGAGGAACACCAAUGGCGAAGGCAGCUUGCUGGGACGGUACUGACGCUGAGGCGCGAAAGCGUGGGAGCAACAGG
rnacentral:rRNA from 1 species